CGGCACUGGAAGUGCACUGUCUUGUGCAACCCCAGUGGCUGGUGUUGGAUCCCUGACCAGGAAUCGAACCCGGGCCGCGGCGGUGAGAGCGCUGAGGCCUAACCACUGGUCCUCCGCUGGAAGGAAAUAAGUAAACUCAGUUGGGUCACGUCCCUGUGUGGAUCAUUUCACCUCCUAUCUAUGAAGUUCUGAGAUGAUCUGAUUGGUGCUCCUCCACCUGCUGGCUUGAGAUCUUCAUUCCUCCUGCUGUAAUCUCUGAAUUUCCUUCAUGGCUUCGUUAUCAAUUCACAGCGACAGAAAAGAACAUGACGACGUUCAACAUCAUAUUAACGAGAAAUCCAGUGUAGGAGUUUUAGAGACGUUGAAGCAAGUUCAGGACUCAAAGUCCCAGAAUGCACUGCAGCUAUAUGACGCAGAGACUCGGCUCAGCUAGUCAGCGAUGGAGCUCAUGGAGAGAUGGAGUGAUGGAGCUGAUGGAGUGAUGGAGCGAUGGAGUGAUGGAGCGAUGGAGUGAUGGAGCGAUGGAGCUGAUGGAGUUGA